CCCUAUAAACACAAGUCUGUGCGCUGUAGUACCAGAUCAUAACACUACUUACCACUUUCAGUUCUCAGAGAAGGAGAAAAAAAAAUGCAUUAUUACGUCAGGGGCGGGGCUGAAAAGAGCGCGCGGGAAGCACACAAGUCAGACAGAGGGAGGAGGAGGAGGAAGAAGGAGGAUAAAACAUGGCGGCUGUAUAGUGUGACAGCCAUUCAGACAAUGUUAAAAAACGACCAUUUCUUUGUGCAUUGAGUUAUUUAAAUCAUAACAACUCAUCAUUUUUAUUCUGCAGACCUCAUUGAAUUAAAGAACUUACCUUGAUCAUAAGUGCGAUAUCGGCGAUACUCGGCGCACAUCGAAAACCCGCGCGCUUCGACUGUCUUGAUUGGCGGGUGUCACGUGGCGAGGCGGUUUCCCGCGUUGGGCGAUGUGCCAUCCUGUGGCCAGACUGCGGAACAGCUCUGUGGUUCUUCUUAUUGUCCUACAUCGCCCCCUAAUGGCAAACAUGCUUAAAAACAGUUUUAUUGUAAUGCUGAGGGAUAUGAACAGUCAGCCUUCUACCAUUAUAUGAUUUCGGCAAUUAACAUGCACCCAAUUAAUGGGAUUAAAACGUUUUAGGCAAAAAAAACUACAUAAAUGUGGCAUUUCAUCAUUGUUUAUAUUGAUACAAUUAUAACAAUAAAAAUG